UGGAACUGUGCAAACAGUUACAACUGAAGAAUUUGUAAAACUGUUCUUUUCACUCCAUAGGUUAAGAUAAAGUUCCAUUUUACUAUAAGAAACCAAGUGAGAUUGACCACCAAGAAAGUUGGUCCGAGAGUUAAGACAAGAGACAAGUGAACGCCGAUGCGAAAAGUACCGCCAAGGCCAGGAGAGCCGCUUAGGGAAAAAAGCUAAGGCCACUGAAUGUCCAGAUUGUCAUUAUCCGCAACCUACGGAUGGCAAAUAUCAUAAAGAAUCUUACUGGUAAAACUGCAUCUUCAUCUUCAAAACUUAGAGUUAAGAAUAAAGAACAAAUUAUUAUAAUUUCCAGUGAUGAGGGCAGUACGAAGGUAAAUUUGUGAGAUUACAAUCACACAUUAGUAUAGAGUGAGGUAAGAGAGAACCUGGUUAAGCUAUGAGGGCGAAGAUAGCUCCGGCUAGGAACAAUAUGAACUGUUGCAGAGGUUUUCACAGGUAUAUGAUGGCAGAGGUUUGGUUCAGGGGUGACUGUGAGGUUUAAGGUUCAAGGUAACAGAGGUUUCAGAUAGCAUAGGUCUGAGGUCGGAGGUUACAGGUAGCAGAGGUCUGAGGUUACCGGCAGAGGUCUGAGGUUACAGGUAGCAGAGGUCUGAGGUUACAGGCAGAGGUCUGAGGUUACAGGUAGCAGAGGUUAUUGAAGGCUUCAGAGGGUUUUGAAGGCUUCAGGGAUUAUCACAGGCUUAGAGGAGGCUUAGGCUCUGAGGAUAGCUCUUUUUUCCUCAGGAUCCGUUAUUUUGUCUAUAAUGUCUAGAAUAAAAUUAUCUUCCUGAGUGAGUGUGUGAACAUUAUGUUGGGGUAAUGGACAACUACAGUCUUCUGAUGAUUUUGUAGUGGUUUCAGUAUAAGAACUAUCUGAUCCUAUAAGAUCAAGAUCAUUACUAUCUAUUUCUUCCGUAUAAGAUCCACUAGAAGUAGAGGAGGAAGAAUAAUAGGAUAUUAUAUUUUUUAAUUUUGAUUUGGUUGUAUCAUCUAGAUUCAAUGAGUCUAUUUUCUUUUUUAAUUUACAUUGGUGUUUAUAAUGUCCUAUUUUACCACACUUAUAGCAUACUGGGAGUUUUUUCCUUUUCUUUGUAUUUGGGGAAAAUUUAUUAAUUAAUUUUCUCUUGGUCUUUUUAUAAUAUUCUUUGUCCUUAUUCUUCUUUUUGGCUUUAAUAUAUUUUUCUUUUUUGUAUUUUUUCUUCUUCUUUUUUACGUAAUCAGGCAUAUUUUUUCUAUCUAAGUAAUAGCCAAAUUGCUCACAGAAAUCUCCAAGUUCUUUUUUCUUGGUGAGCUUUUGUUUAUCUAUUUGUCUUUUUAAUUUCAUAUCGGUGCAUAGGGCUAAACCUUCUGCACAUAUUUCUGCGGAGAGUUCUCCGAGUGUAUAUGAUGAAUAUACUAUUAUUCCAUUAUGUUUUUUGCGAAGUCUUUCCUUGACUUUUUCUGCAAAUAGAUAUGGAAGACCAGCUAUAAAUUUUUCCUUCCAAUGGUCUAGCUGACAGUCUUCUCGUAUUAAUAGCCUUGAAAAGAAUACAUCUUUAUACCAUUUAUAAUGAGAAAGAGUAGGACAGCGUAAAUUAGAUAGCAAGUCUUCUGAUCUUGCUGCUAGUAAUGAGGCACUGCCUACAAAAUGUAAAGUAAUUGUGUAUAUCAAGGUAUUGACAGCGUCACUUUCUGUAUAUAUAACUUCUUGAUUUUGUUCAUUUCUUCCAGUCCAUUGUCUAGUAUUGUUUAAAAUCCUUUGUUUGGUAUCGUCAUCCACAUAAAAAUCCCACCAUCCCCUUAACCAUCCGGUAAAUCCAUUUACUAUUGCUUUGGCAACUUCUUGAUCAUGGUUGCCUGCCAUUUUAUUUGCAGAGGCAUAGAUAGUCAUAUGUCUCAUGACAUCUAAUAUUUUUAAUUCGGAUAGUCCAUCAAUUUGCCAGUUGACUAUUGACCUUCCUGAAUAGGAUACAGCCUGUUGUAUUGAAUCUUCUUCCAUUUGAAUGUCAACAGGAGUAGGUCUCUUAUGAUAAGGUAAGGCUGUUAUGGGUUUCCAAUAUUUUCCAUAAGCUAUUUUGUUGAUGGUGUCCAUUAGAGGUG
rnacentral:lncRNA from 1 species